GACGAACGCUGGCGGCGUGCUUAACACAUGCAAGUCGAACGGAAAGGCCCUGCUUUUGUGGGGUGCUCGAGUGGCGAACGGGUGAGUAACACGUGAGUAACCUGCCCUUGACUUUGGGAUAACUUCAGGAAACUGGGGCUAAUACCGGAUAGGAGCUCCUGCUGCAUGGUGGGGGUUGGAAAGUUUCGGCGGUUGGGGAUGGACUCGCGGCUUAUGAGCUUGUUGGUGGGGUAGUGGCUUACCAAGGCUUUGACGGGUAGCCGGCCUGAGAGGGUGACCGGCCACAUUGGGACUGAGAUACGGCCCAGACUCCUACGUGAGGCAGCAGUGGGGAAUAUUGCACAGUGGGCGGAAGCCUGAUGCAGCAACGCCGCGUGCGGGAUGACGGCCUUCGGGUUGUAAACCGCUUUCGCCUGUGACGAAGCGUGAGUGACGGUAAUGGGUAAAGAAGCACCGGCUAACUACGUG
rnacentral:rRNA from 1 species